CAGUCGCCGCGGUAACACGUAGGUCCCGAGCGUUGUCCGGAUUUAUUGGGCGUAAAGCGAGCGCAGGCGGUUAGAUAAGUCUGAAGUUGAAGGCUGUGGUUUAACCAUAGUACGCUUUGGAAACUGUUUAACUUGAGUGCAGAAGGGGAGAGUGGAAUUCCAUGUGUAGCGGUGAAAUGCGUAGAGAUGUGGAGGAACACCAGUGGCGAAGGCGACUCUCUGGUCUGUAACUGACGCUGAGGAGCGAAAGCGUGGGGAGCGAACAGGAUUAGAUACCCCCGUAGUCCCUGUCUCUUAUACA
rnacentral:rRNA from 1 species